rnacentral:tRNA from 1 species
GUUACGUGGCCGAGCGGCGAGGCAAAGGUUCGCAAGACCUUUUACGAGGGUUCGAUCCCCUCCGUAACCA